rnacentral:rRNA from 1 species
GAUGAACGCUGGCGGCGUGCCUAAUACAUGCAAGUCGAGCGAACAGAUAAGGAGCUUGCUCCUUUGACGUUAGCGGCGGACGGGUGAGUAACACGUGGGUAACCUACCUAUAAGACUGGAAUAACUCCGGGAAACUGGGGCUAAUGCCGGAUAACAUUUAGAACCGCAUGGUUCUAAAGUGAAAGAUGGUUUUGCUAUCACUUAUAGAUGGACCCGCGCCGUAUUAGCUAGUUGGUAAGGUAACGGCUUACCAAGGCAACGAUACGUAGCCGACCUGAGAGGGUGAUCGGCCACACUGGAACUGAGACACGGUCCAGACUCCUACGGGAGGCAGCAGUAGGGAAUCUUCCGCAAUGGGCGAAAGCCUGACGGAGCAACGCCGCGUGAGUGAUGAAGGUCUUCGGAUCGUAAAACUCUGUUAUUAGGGAAGAACAAAUGUGUAAGUAACUGUGCACGUCUUGACGGUACCUAAUCAGAAAGCCACGGCUAACUACGUG